rnacentral:lncRNA from 1 species
UUUUAUUUUUAUUUUAUUUUAUUAUUUUUCUAAAUUCAUUGUACUUGAAUUUUAAUUUUAAUUAAUAUAAAAUUUAUUUUUCUGCACUUUAAAUUCCUGUCUUUUAUUUUUUGCAUGUAGAUGCUUGGAUCUAAUUAGUAGAUCUUAGUACCAAUUUAUUUUUAUACUUUUUAAAUUUUUAUUAUUUAUUUUUAUUGCAAGUAGAUGC